CUAGGUUAGUAAUUUCUCUAAUUUUCAUCUUCUCUUUAUUUUGUAUUUUGGUCAAUAUUCUUAUUAAUUGUGGUCACGUAGAACUUAGCAUUAAUGCAUCACCUACACACAUUUUAUGACAGACACAUUAUCUCUCAAUUUCCUUUAACAGAACCAGAGAAGAGCUUGUCCUGAGCUAGCCUACUUUGUGACACUGUGGUCUAUCUUCUGAUUUUGAACACAUUGACAUUGACUGACUGACUUAUCUUUCCAGCUUGAGAAAUCAAAACAUGAAUGUAUGUGCCAAAGUAGAAUUCAUCAGCUUCAGCCUUGAUUUCUUGGAUCAGCACAUCAUCUCUCCACACUCUCUCUACAGUAAAGUCACCCCUAGUAUCUGUCACCAGAUCACACCAAGAUAAGCCAGUGACCAUCAGCUGACCCUGAACUUGCCAGUUGGCAUUUAACCUCUACCAGGCCAUAGGGAGGUUCUUCAUUUGGAUCCACCACUUUGCCAUCUGGACUGGCACCAAGAUGUGGAGCAUGGGGGUGGAUGACGAGACCGCAUGGGAGGACAUUGACAUCGAAGGUGGCAGCAUAGCGGUGAAGAACCUCUGGCUCAAGUUCCACUCCUCUACGCAUUGCCUUGGUCUGGGGGGCACCUUUAAUGAUCCGUCCAGCAAGCGUCUUCACAGUGGUUUCAGAUCUUACAUGAGCUGCUUCAUAAAACUUACUUGCUGUAAGCCGUAGACGGCGCAUGCUUACCCAGAGGGGGCUUUUGAACUGAUCCCGUGUUCCCUCCUCAAUGAUCCCUGACAUCUCAGGUGUCACCUCCAGACUCUGCAUAUGCAGGAGUUCAGCUUUGUACUGUGGGAGUGUGUAUUGUGGGACAGGUAAUGGGGGGAAUUGUGGAGCAUUUGGAUGCUUAACCACAUCCUUUGGCAGCACAGCAGGACACUGGUAGGAAAGCAGUGAACCUUUGGGGACCUCUCUGAACUUUGAUGACACCAUUGUUACAGUCAACGCUGCUGCCUGCCUGCUGUCUGACCUACGUUUGGAGCUUCGUGGAGUUUAUCCUAAAUCCUUCUCUUUAUUCCUAUUCACACAAUAUAACUUUCUUAUUUUUCACUA